CACUGAUCUGUUUUUUCCUCCCAGACCGAGUUUUUUUUCUCUCUCUUUCCUCCUUCUGCCUCCUAAACCGAACAGCAGCAGCUGCAGCUCUCGCUCUCAACUUUACAAAACAAUCAAUUGAUUUGACGGUGAAGCUACAAAACUGUAGAAAUCAAUUCUCUUAAUUUUCAGAUUCAUCAAACUUCACAACAAUCAGGGAAUAGGUUGCAUAGGAAGUGUAGCAGCUGAGAUGCUAAUAAGAUGUGGUGUUAAUCGCAUUCUGUUGUAUGAUUAUGACAAAGUAGAGCUAGCUAACAUGAAUAUGUUAUUCUUUCGUCCAGAGCAAGUGCUCAUCCUUAUGCUCAUAUGUCUUUCUUUCUUUUUGGAAUUUGCCUUUGUUCUCAUUUGCCAGCAAACUGGUUCCCAUAUUUGAAAUUUUGAAUUACCAUAAUAUAUAGUUAAUUUUACUGCUUGCUAAUGAAUGAAUUGAUCUAUUCGGGUUCA